ACCCGCUGAACUUAAGCAUAUCACUAA
rnacentral:rRNA from 2 species